AUUGAAUUCCUUGAAUCGUGGAACGUGAUGGGGCUGCUUUACUAACUGCUUUGAUAACUGCACUUCUUGAUAACCACAACGCUUUAUGUUUGUUAAGACUUUGGGCGACUUGAAGGUUUUGGCGAGAAUAGAGUAAUAGCUCUGGGCGACUGCACGACACUCCAUUCGCUCAGAUUCUGGGCGACUUGCAAUCUUGGGCGAUGGCGUUACCACGUUCUUGGGCCUCCCUAUUUGGGCCUUCAUCUUGAAUUGUUUGAUUG
rnacentral:lncRNA from 1 species